rnacentral:sRNA from 1 species
AGUUCUUCGUUAGGUGAGGCUACUAUACAGACACAGGCCGCUGCCCGGAAAUGUCGAGAGACAGUAACGGGUCAACUGGUAUUACCGAAAUAAGGUUUUACCUAACGCGGCUGGGAAUCCUUUCUCUAGCUGUAUAGAGCCAAAGCUUGUACGAAUGAA